GAGUACCUGCUUUGACAAGACUCCUGGCUUGGUGUGUUUCUUUUGAGCCAUCAACACUCACCAUCCUGUUCAGCCUCGGAGAGACCCUGGAGGGACCAGGACCACUCUUGUCUCGCCUGGACCUGCAGGAACAGUUGAUGCCCUGGCCCCUUCAUCUCUGGAUUCUGAGGCUCAACUAACAAGGUAUCCAGAAUACAUCUUCUCUAAUGUCUGAAGAAAAAUGCUGGCCACUAAUCGUUUGCCUCGAAGGAGUCUGAGGAGUGAGUUGCCUCGAAGACAGUUGAGGGAGUCUGAAUGUAGGUCUUAAUUCGUUAAUGUCAUCUCUUUUAAAACCACUUUCUGCCUGGUGUUCCAAGUAAGAUGUGGCUCAUUCAUAUAGAUCCUUGCUUGCUUGGAGUCUGGCCUGCUGGAUACCUAAUACAGGUUUCCAAAAAUAAAGCUGACAUUUAUUGAAUACC